rnacentral:ncRNA from 1 species
GCACGCGCGCUACACUGACCGGAUCAGCGUGUGCUCUCCUUGGCCGACAGGUCCGGGAAACCCGUUGAACCCCGGUCGUGCUAGGGAUAGGGAAUUGCAAUUAUUUCCCUUGAACGAGGAAUUCCCAGUAAGCGCGAGUCAUUAGCUCGCGUUGAUUACGUCCCUGCCCUUUGUACACACCGCCCGUCGCUACUACCGAUUGAAUGGUUUAGUGAGGUCCUCCGAUUGGACCCGGUCCGGGCGGCGACGUCCGAGCCGGCGUCCGAGAAGACGAUCUAACUUGAUCAUUUAGAGGAAGUAAAAGUCGUAACAAGGUUUCCGUAGGUGAACCUGCGGAAGGAUCAUUA